rnacentral:rRNA from 1 species
AGCUCCAAUAGCGUAUAUUAAAGUUGUUGCGGUUAAAAGCUCGUAGUUGGAUUUCUGUCGAGGGUGGCCGGUCCGCUUUUCGAGCGUGUAUCUGGUUCGGCCUUGGCAUCCUCUUGGGGAACGUAUCUGUGCUUAAUUGCAUGGUGCGGUAUUCAAGACUUUUACUUUGAGGAAAUUAGAGUGUUCACUGCAAGCGUUAGCUUUGAAUACAUUAGCAUGGAAUAAUAAUAUAGGACCUUGGUACUAUUUUGUUGGUUUCUAGAACUAAGGUAAUGAUUAAUAGGGACAAUUGGGGGCAUUCGUAUUAACACGUCAGAGGUGGAAUUCUUAGAUUGUGUUACGACGAACUACUGCGAAAGCAUUUGCCAAGGAUGUUUUCA